CGUCAAUUAAUGUAUUUUAUCAAUUAACACUAUAUCAUUGGGACAAUAAAUGAAUGAAGAGACAAACGUCAUUUAUCAAGCAUGCAUUGUAACAUUUCCGUGUUAAAUUGUCAUUUCGUUUCGUUAUCAAAUAACUGACAAUUUAUCGCCCUUUGUAUCAACACGUCAUUUGUAAACAUGACAGGUCGUGAGUAAGGAAACUCUUAAACAGUAAUUUGACGAUUAAUUUAAAAGGGAUAAUGAAUUGCAUUGUGCGACUUACAGAAUGGCUGAAGGAUGAAAGAAUUUCCAGAAAAGUAAAAUUCUUUAUGAAUUUGUGAAUGGAAAUAAAACCCAAGGAACUAAUAUAUUUGCUUACCAUCCAGUUGAAAGUAUGCCAGUGGAAUAAAGUGCAAUUGUCACAGAAGUGCACAAAAUAAGGUCAUGCUUUCUGCAAAAGUGCACCAAGCCGAUUCAACUACAAAUGGGAGUCAGUCAAGAAAUAAGUAAAACUAACUGAACUGUCACAGUUGAACUAUGAGAAAUGUUUGGUAAUAGUAUGUUUUGUUGCCAGAACAGCAGUGAAGUGGUUAGAGUAAAACUGUCUUAAUUGUUUAAGCAACACAGAAUAUUUUGAUUAAAACUUUCUCCAUGUAUAAAAUAUCUUGAGUGCUCUUUUUUUAUUUAAAUGAUCAUACAGAUUCAAGAAAUUUGACAAUAAAUGCAACUUUAUUUUUAUAAGAAAAUAGUGCAUUGUUGCCAUGGUAUUAAACAUUAAUCUGACUAUAGAUUAUUGUAAAACAUCUUUCAUGUUUAUAUGUUCUAUUUGUUAAAAAAAUAAUGUAUGGUCAUAUUCUUUUCUAAGUAAUAACUGCAUCAACAAAACAUUAUGUUAUCAUAUGGAUCUGCUUUAAACUAGCAAUAGUUGUAACUGUGCCGUGUGUAUCAGAAAAUUAUGUAUAUCCCAUACAGUGUCACAUCAGUUUACAUCAAAUGAGGUUUUCUUACCUUUGAAUAUGAAAGUAGACAGCUUUCGAUGUAAAUAGUAUUUUGAAAAACACUUUAACAUAUUCAAUUUGUUUGAAGAAAUUGAUAGAAAUGGUACUUUUGGUAAGAAAAUACAUCAUUGUCGCCAUGGUAACGAGUCACUCAUCAGUAUGACAUCUGUACUACUACUUUAAGCAAAACCAGUUAAAAUAUUUCUAAUAAUUAUUUCUUUUUGCCUAAUUUUCUGUCUAACAGUUACAAAGAAAUAUGCCAAUGAGUCAAGUAUUCUAACAACAAGGUUAAUGUCCUAGUUCUGUCAUGUUAUCUAACUCGAUAUCCAGUAAAGCUUUUUUAGUACAAAAGAAAGCCAUAAGAUUUUUGCCAAAAACUGUUAUCUUUAAAAUCUGUUUGUACACUAGAAAAUGUUGACAGUAUAUUAACUAUACUUUCUAGAUGUUCAUUUUGGCUGGAUUUACCAAGGAACUAUUAAAAUUGGAUUUAACAACUGUGUUGUUAUGGAAACGAUUUUUAGUGGAAAAUGAUAUGUGCUCAUAUGAAAGAAAGAAACAGAAAGAAAUAAAUUUAAUUAACUGCA